rnacentral:misc_RNA from 1 species
UUCACUAUUUCACCAUGACAGUUUCACUCGUGGUCGUUGUGUGUGUUGCAGUCGUGCAUGUUGCUCAUGGCGCGCUGCCGUACCAGAACACCAACCUGGGGUGGGAUGCUAGGGUGGAUGACCUCGUCAGUCGUAUGACCUUGCAGGAGAUACAAGUCCAACUGGCCAGCGGUCAAGACGAGUCUCCGCCAAUAAAGCGUCUGGGGCUCACGAACUACGCCUGGUGGAGCAAUUGUGGCCGCGGGGAUGUCACAAGGAACGCCACGGGGUUUCCACAGUUUAUAGGAAUUGGUGCUUCCUUUGAUGCGGACCUUGUGUACCGGAUGGCCGUAGUGACCAGUACGGAAGUGCGGGCCUACUUUAACUACUACAUGGCGCGUCACGAACGUCUGGGGAUACACAAGGCCAUCAGCUGUUUCAGCCCGAAUGUCGACACAUUUAGAGAUCCUCGUUGGGGAAGAGGGCAGGAGACUUUCGGGGAGGACCCGUACCACGUCGGUGAACUCGGCUACAUCCACGUCAAGGGCCUUCACGGAAACGAUACCCGCUACCUGAGGACCAGUUCCGGGUGCAAGCACUACGUCAUAUCCGGGGGCCCAGAAGACUGGCCAGUCAAUAGACAUGACUUUGACCCCAAAGUAAGCACACGUGACUUGAGGACGUAUUUUCUCCCACCGUUCAGGAGAUGUGUCGAGGCCGGAGCCUACAGUCUCAUCUGUUCCUAUAACCUCGUUGACGGCGUCCCAGCGUGUGCCAACAAGGAGAUCCUGACUGACAUCCUCCGAGGGGAGUGGAACUUCAAGGGUUAUAUAAUAGCUGACGCUGGCGAAGUCAUGUUUAUGAUCAAACGACGCCACUACUUCAAGACGAAAAUGGAGGCUGCUGUCGCCUGUCUCAAGGCUGGCUGUAACAUUGAAGUCGAGGGAAGCCAGGACAGAGCGUAUCUCACGUUAGCGGAUGCAGUCAAACAAGGGAAAAUAUCUGAGAAUUUUGUCCGGGACCAGAUGAAGCCUUUGAUCUACACCCGAAUGAGACUAGGAGAGUUCGACCCGCCCACCAUGAACCCCUAUAACAAUCUGGAUGUACACAAAGAUGUGCUGAACAAAGACCACAUCGCUCUUGCUCUCGAGGCCGCCAUGAAGAGCUUUGUCCUGCUAAAGAACGAGAACAACUAUCUUCCCAUCAAACACAAACUGAAUAAAAUUGCUGUGGUCGGUCCGAUGUCAGACAACAAGAACGACCUAAAAGGGGAUUAUGCAUCUGGGACUGACAGUCAUCUUGUGGACAGCGCUCUCGAUGGCUUGAAAAACCUGGCCAAUCAUGUGAACGUUAAAGAUGGCUGCAACGACGUGAACUGUAACCACCUCAACAACCACGAUGUCAUCAGUGCUGUUAGUGGCGUCGAUGCAAUAUUUGUGUGUCUUGGAGGAGGACAGACUAUUGAGCGGGAGGGUCACGACCGCCACAGUGUCGGUCUCCCAGGACAUCAACUGGACCUUCUGAAGACGGUCGUCAAUCAUGUCCAAGGUGGACCAGGAAUUGUGGGUAAACGAGCUGCGGCAACUCCAAUCAUCCUUCUUCUGUUUAAUGGCGGACCACUACAAGUCGCGUGGGCCGAGGCGAACCCCCACGUGACCGCGAUACUUGAUUGCUUCAUACCCCAUCAAAAAGCAGGGGAGGCAAUCCAGAAGGUUCUGACAAACGAUGGUCCUCACUCCGUGCCCUCUGCAAAAAUGCCGUACACUGUGCCAGCCAGUGACAGUCAGAUCCCACCAAUGACGGACUACUCGAUGGACAGACGUACUUACUGGUACUUCAAGGGCGACCCAUUGUAUCCACUAAUCAAGACUCGUAUCGUCUUGAUGUUGACAGAUCCCACCUAUGACGGACUACUCGAUGGACAGACGUACUUACUGGUACUUCAAGGGCGACCCGUUGUAUCCUUUCGGCUACGGGCUCUCCUACACCACCUGGCAUUACUCGGGUCUUCAAUACAACCACAACAUCAACGCCGGAAGUGACCUCAAGGGCCAGGUCGUCGUCAGCAACACCGGAAAUUACAACGCUGAUGAGAUCAUCCAGGUAUAUGUGUCCUGGACGGACAGCUCCCUGAACAUGCCGAAGUACAAACUGGUUGCCUUCGGGAGAGUGUACGUCCAACAAGGGCAGCACACAACCUUCAAGUUUACAAUCAGUCACAAGAACCUGGC